rnacentral:lncRNA from 1 species
UUAUAAAAAAUGUAGAUGAAAAAAAAAAGACUAUUAAUAAGAGUUGUAUUGAUCAAGUAAAUGAACUUGCAUCCUUUUUUUUUAAUUCUGUUUUAAAAAAGUCGAAAAUAGUGGAUAGCGAUAGUGAAGAUAAUGAAAAAGGAGUCGCCAAGACAGAUUCCGUAAUAAACUUACUAGAAAAAAAAAAAAAAAAACACCAAAACUUAAGAAAAGUAAAAAAAAACAUAACCACAGUGAUAAUAAAAAUCAUUCAAAAGAUGAUAGUUCAGACGAACUAUCGAGCGAAGAAGAUGAUAAAUCACCACCAAAAGGAAUAGACGACAUAAAUAUGUUGACUACAAAUCUAAACAUAACUGAUAUGGGUAAUGUGACAAACUUAACAGAUGUGGCAGAUGUGACUGAUACGACACAAAAAGAUUCCAAAGUAGAAGACACAAUUAAGCAGCUAAUCAGUAACAAAUAUAAAUAUACAUACAUUUUUGAUAAAAUCAUGGUAUACAUUUUUAAUACGUUUAAAAGUAACGUAGAAAGUGUUUUCUCUGAUAUAGAACAUAAAAAAUAUAAAGAAUCUUUUUUAUUAAUACAACAAAAUAAAAUAAAAAAAACCGAGUACAAUAAUGGUAGUGACAGUGGUAACGAUAACAACAAGAAGAAUGGAAAAGAAAAUAAAUUUAAUGUCUCUACUUCAAUAAAAACAAACGUAAUACAAAUUAAAAAAGACAUAAAUAAAAUAAAUAACAAAAAUAAUGAAAAAAAUAAUGAAAAAAAUAUAGUUAAUUCACCUUAUCAAAGUGAUGAAAAACAAAAAGAUUGCAAAAAUGAGAAUAGUGAAAUAAUAAAUAUCAUUAACGAAACAGACAACCAAACAAAUACAACGCAACAAAUGUUCUUACAAGAUAUAAUAAAUUAUAAAAACAUACUGUUCGAUUAUAAUCAACUAAAACAGUAUUAUGAACUGAUGAUAAAAACUUUUUAUGAACAGUUUAAAAACAUGCUUUUUGUAUACUUAUUAAAAAUAUACAUGCAAAUAAAAAAAGGAGGGUAUAUAAAAGGUAAUUAUAUUUUUAGGGAACUGCAAACAGGGGAACA